rnacentral:rRNA from 1 species
CGGGACACGUGGUAUCCUGUCUGAAUAUGGGGGGACCAUCCUCCAAGGCUAAAUACUCCUGACUGACCGAUAGUGAACCAGUACCGUGAGGGAAAGGCGAAAAGAACCCCGGCGAGGGGAGUGAAAAAGAACCUGAAACCGUGUACGUACAAGCAGUGGGAGCACGCUUAGGCGUGUGACUGCGUACCUUUUGUAUAAUGGGUCAGCGACUUAUAUUCUGUAGCAAGGUUAACCGAAUAGGGGAGCCGAAGGGAAACCGAGUCUUAACUGGGCGUUAAGUUGCAGGGUAUAGACCCGAAACCCGGUGAUCUAGCCAUGGGCAGGUUGAAGGUUGGGUAACACUAACUGGAGGACCGAACCGACUAAUGUUGAAAAAUUAGCGGAUGACUUGUGGCUGGGGGUGAAAGGCCAAUCAAACCGGGAGAUAGCUGGUUCUCCCCGAAAGCUAUUUAGGUAGCGCCUCGUGAAUUCAUCUCCGGGGGUAGAGCACUGUUUCGGCAAGGGGGUCAUCCCGACUUACCAACCCGAUGCAAACUGCGAAUACCGGAGAAUGUUAUCACGGGAGACACACGGCGGGUGCUAACGUCCGUCGUGAAGAGGGAAACAACCCAGACCGCCAGCUAAGGUCCCAAAGUCAUGGUUAAGUGGGAAACGAUGUGGGAAGGCCCAGACAGCCAGGAUGUUGGCUUAGAAGCAGCCAUCAUUUAAAGAAAGCGUAAUAGCUCACUGGUCGAGUCGGCCUGCGCGGAAGAUGUAACGGGGCUAAACCAUGCACCGAAGCUGCGGCAGCGACGCUUAUGCGUUGUUGGGUAGGGGAGCGUUCUGUAAGCCUGUGAAGGUGUACUGUGAGGUAUGCUGGAGGUAUCAGAAGUGCGAAUGCUGACAUAAGUAACGAUAAAGCGGGUGAAAAGCCCGCUCGCCGGAAGACCAAGGGUUCCUGUCCAACGUUAAUCGGGGCAGGGUGAGUCGACCCCUAAGGCGAGGCCGAAAGGCGUAGUCGAUGGGAAACAGGUUAAUAUUCCUGUACUUGGUGUUACUGCGAAGGGGGGACGGAGAAGGCUAUGUUGGCCGGGCGACGGUUGUCCCGGUUUAAGCGUGUAGGCUGGUUUUCCAGGCAAAUCCGGAAAAUCAAGGCUGAGGCGUGAUGACGAGGCACUACGGUGCUGAAGCAACAAAUGCCCUGCUUCCAGGAAAAGCCUCUAAGCAUCAGGUAACAUCAAAUCGUACCCCAAACCGACACAGGUGGUCAGGUAGAGAAUACCAAGGCGCUUGAGAGAACUCGGGUGAAGGAACUAGGCAAAAUGGUGCCGUAACUUCGGGAGAAGGCACGCUGAUAUGUAGGUGAAGUGAUUUACUCAUGGAGCUGAAAUCAGUCGAAGAUACCAGCUGGCUGCAACUGUUUAUUAAAAACACAGCACUGUGCAAACACGAAAGUGGACGUAUACGGUGUGACGCCUGCCCGGUGCCGGAAGGUUAAUUGAUGGGGU